AUACGGAGGAUGCGAGCGUUAUCCGGAUUUAUUGGGUUUAAAGGGAGCGUAGGUGGGAUAUUAAGUCAGCUGUGAAAGUUUGGGGCUCAACCUUAAAAUUGCAGUUGAUACUGGUUUCCUUGAGUACGGUAUAGGUGGGCGGAAUUCGUGGUGUAGCGGUGAAAUGCUUAGAUAUCACGAAGAACUCCGAUCGCGAAGGCAGCUCACCGGGCCGGAACUGACACUGAUGCUCGAAAGUGCGGGUAUCAAACAGGAUUAGAUACCCUGGUAGUCCGCACAGUAAACGAUGAAUACUCGCUGUUUGCGAUACACGGUAAGCGGCCAAGCGAAAGCGUUAAGUAUUCCACCUGGGGAGUACGCCGGCAACGGUGAAACUCAAAUGAAUUGACGGG
rnacentral:rRNA from 1 species